rnacentral:lncRNA from 1 species
GUGAGAGAUACUUUUAGAACAGACUUUUUUUUACUUUAAAAUUCCUGUAUUCCCAUUUUUAAGAGUAAAUUUAAAUUUUCCAGGAUUUGAACUUUUUCCACAGCAGCAUAAUGAAAAAGUCAAUUUGAGAUAAUAGAAUGUAAUUCAGUGAUAAAAGAGAUUGAUGUCUGGUUAUAGGAAACAGAAGGGAAGGGGGAAAAAGUUGUUUUGAUGUAACAAACGAAUUUUUAAUAAAAAUGUUUUUGUUUUCUGUAAUUUUGUAUUUACUGCUACAGUAGCUCAAUAUUUUACAGAGCUGACAUAUAGAUCUGGCUCCAUUCAGAAACUGGAGUACUUUCUAGUACAACCAACUGAGGAGGAAGGUGUGUACCACAGUCUUCCAGAAAGGUGACUGGCGGCCCUGUUUAGCUGAUGCAUGCUUUAAAAUGCGCCUGUAGCCCAACAUCAAGGAAGUGUGGGAGAAACGUUUAUCUUGCUAGUUAAUAGCAUUAUGAUUCUUUUGGGGCCCUGGCAUUUUGUGAAACCCUUGAGGGAGGGAAGGUGAUGCUGGAGAAGAAAUGUGAAUUAAAUUUUGUAGAAGGAUGUUUUCAUGCUUCUGUCCUCUCCUAGAACCAGAACAGCUUUUGUAUCUGUGCCAGGCUCUAGUUCACCAGCUAUGUAUCCAGUCAUCAUCUCAUUCACAUUUGGCUUCACUUGGUGACAGUGGCCAUAGCUAAGUUAUUUGGCAUGUUUGACUUUCAACAGUAACAAAAAUGGUUUUGGAUUUUAUUUCCUAAAAAUGUAUACGAUGUCGAAACUUUACAUUUUAUAUACUAGUAUCUGGCUAUUAGUAUUUUACAGGAACCAUAGUUCUUGGUGACUGUACUGAAAUAUUAGCUUGUUUGAUAUAAGGAAAGUAUGUAUUGAGUACUUUUUGCUAGUUUGGUUGUUUAAUCUUUUUUAAAAAGGUUUAAUCUUUUUAAAAAGCAAAAACUUUAAACUGGCCUUUAUUACAUGGUCACAAAUAAAGUUGCAGUUAGAAGGGAUGGGCAGGGAAAAAGAUAGUUUUGGGUGUCUUUGAAUAGAAACAAGACUAAGUUUUUAAGUUUUGUUUGGUUCCCUUCCCCCCUUCAUUAAAAUAUCUUAUUAAUGCUU